rnacentral:misc_RNA from 1 species
UAUGAAGAACGUAGCGAAAUGCGAUAAGUAAUGUGAAUUGCAGAAUUCAGUGAAUCAUCGAAUCUUUGAACGCACAUUGCGCCCGCCAGUAUUCUGGCGGGCAUGCCUGUCCGAGCGUCAUUUCAACCAUCAAGCCCCCGGGCUUGUGUUGGGGACCUGCGGCUGCCCGCAGGCCCUGAAAACCAGUGGCGGGCUCGCUGUCACACCGAGCGUAGUAGCAAUCACCUCGCUCAGGGCGUGCUGCGGGUUCCGGCCGUUAAACAGCCUUACAAAACCCAAGGUUGACCUCGGAUCAGGUAGGAAGACCCGCUGAACUUAAGCAUAUCAAUAAGCGGAGGA